CAGGGAGACAACAAAAUGUUUAAUAUUAUUUUGUCACCUUAGGUCGAUCGGUAUCUCACAUUCUUAAUUUAUUAAGAAUUUCAUUUCUUAAGUUUUUCUAGGUCACACCCAUUUUUUCCUGGGCCAUUAGCUCAGGUGGUUAGAGCGCACCCCUGAUAAGGGUGAGGUCCCUGGUUCAAGUCCAGGAUGGCCCAUAUCUCUAUGUUGGGGGUAUAGCUCAGUUGGUAGAGCGCCUGCUUUGCAAGCAGGAUGUCAGCGGUUCGAGUCCGCUUACCUCCACUGAUUACCACCUCUUCCAUAAUCUGUAGAAAAGGAAAAUUUUGAGUUGUGAUCAAAUUCUGAACGAAUCUAGCUUCCUAAUAAAAUCAUUAAGAUGCUGGACUCAUUGAAUUAAUUUCAUUGUUUUCAGAGAACCUUGACAACUGCAUAGAUUAUUUUUAAAGACAAUAAGCAUCUUUAAUGAUGCAGAUUUAUUAUUUGUGCGAAUGCAUUAAUAACAAUUCUAUUAAGCUGAUGCUUCAAUUUUGAAGUUAUU
rnacentral:tRNA from 1 species